AUGAUUCAUUUUCAAUACUUGACCAUUCACAGUUCAUACUUAUGCCAGUUUCACUUUUCUUACUUUUAUACCAAUUUUGGUGCACUUUUCAGUACUAAUGCUAUGCUGUCCGGAAAUGCCAUAUUAUGUUCAAGUGACUUGCCUAUUUUGUAUUGUACAUAA